rnacentral:rRNA from 1 species
CCUACGGGAGGCAGCAGUGGGGAAUAUUGCACAAUGGGGGAAACCCUGAUGCAGCGACGCCGCGUGAGUGACGAAGUAAUUCGUUAUGUAAAGCUCUAUCAGCAGGGAAGCAAAUGACGGUACCUGAGUAAGAAGCCCCGGCUAACUACGUGCCAGCAGCCGCGGUUAUACGUCGGGGGCAAGCGUUAUCCGGAUUUACUGGGUGUAAAGGGAGCGUAGACGGCAGUGCAAGUCUGGAGUUAAAGGCUGGGGCUCAACCCCCGGACUGCUCUGGAAACUGUACGGCUGGAGUGCAGGAGAGGUAAGUGGAAUUCCUAGUGUAGCGGUGAAAUGCGUAGAUAUUGGGAGGAACACCAGUGGCGAAGGCGGCUUACUGGACUGUAACUGACGUUGAGGCUCGAAAGCGUGGGGAGCAAACAGGAUUAGAUACCCCUGUAGUC